AGAGACUUAGGCUAAUAUAAGACCAAGAGCCUUCAAAGCCCUAAACGAAGGUGAAAAUCCCUCAGUCCCUG
rnacentral:tRNA from 1 species